rnacentral:rRNA from 1 species
AACGCGAAGAACCUUACCUACCCUUGACAUGUCACUAACGAAGUAGAGAUACAUUAGGUGCCCGUAAGGGAAAGUGAACACAGGUGCUGCAUGGCUGUCGUCAGCUCGUGUCGUGAGAUGUUGGGUUAAGUCCCGCAACGAGCGCAACCCUUGUCUUUAGUUGCUACGCAAGAGCACUCUAAAGAGACUGCCGGUGACAAACCGGAGGAAGGUGGGGAUGACGUCAAGUCCUCAUGGCCCUUAUGGGUAGGGCUUCACACGUCAUACAAUGGUGCGUACAGAGGGUUGCCAACCCGCGAGGGGGAGCUAAUCUCUUAAAACGCAUCGUAGUCCGGAUCGUAGUCUGCAACUCGACUACGUGAAGCUGGAAUCGCUAGUAAUCGCGGAUCAGCAUGUCGCGGUGAAUACGUUCCCGGGUCUUGUACACACCG